ensembl:snRNA U6 U6 spliceosomal RNA
UGCUUGCUUCAGCAUUCCAUAUACUAAAAGUGGAACAAUACAGAGAAGAUGAGCAUGACCCCUGCAUGAGGAUGAUAUGCAAAUUAGUGAAGUGUUCCAUAUUUUG